CCUACGGGAGGCAGCAGUGGGGAAUAGUGGGCAAUGGAGGAAACUCUGACCCAGCAAUGCCGCGUGAAUGAAGAAGGUCUUCGGAUUGUAAAGGUCUUUAGUCAGGGAAGAAGAAAAUGACGGUACCUGAAGAAUAAGCUAGGGCUAACUACGGGCCAGCAGCCGCGGUAAUACGUAGGGAGCAAGCGUUGUUCGGAAUGACUGGGCGUAAAGGGGGCGUAGGCGGUUAUACAAGUUAGCAGUGAAAUACCCAGGGCUUAACUCGGGUGCUGCUUCUCAAACUGUAAGACUUGAGUGCAGUCGAGGUUAGUUGUAUUCCUAGUGUAGCGGU
rnacentral:rRNA from 1 species